GAUGAACGCUAGCGACAGGCCUAACACAUGCAAGUCGAGGGGCAGCGGGGGAGUAGCAAUACUCCUGCCGGCGACCGGCGCACGGGUGAGUAACACGUAUGGAACCUGCCCGCCACAGGGGGAUAAGCGGAAGAAAUUCCGUCUAAUACCGCAUAACGUCCUGCCGGGGCAUCCCGGCGGGACCAAAGGGUAACACCGGUGACGGAUGGCCAUGCGCCGCAUUAGCUGGUUGGCGGGGUAACGGCCCACCAAGGCGACGAUCAGUAGCCGGCCUGAGAGGGUGGACGGCCACAUUGGGACUGAGACACGGCCCAA
rnacentral:rRNA from 1 species